rnacentral:rRNA from 1 species
CGAAGCGUGCGAUUGGAUUGCACGUCUAAGCAGUAAGGCUGAGUAUUAGGCAAAUCCGGUACUCGUUAAGGCUGAGCUGUGAUGGGGAGAAGACAUUGUGUCUUCGAGUCGUUGAUUUCACACUGCCGAGAAAAGCCUCUAGAUAGAAAAUAGGUGCCCGUACCGCAAACCGACACAGGUAGUCAAGAUGAGAAUUCUAAGGUGAGCGAGCGAACUCUCGUUAAGGAACUCGGCAAAAUGACCCCGUAACUUCGGGAGAAGGGGUGCUCUUUAGGGUUAACGCCCAGAAGAGCCGCAGUGAAUAGGCCCAAGCGACUGUUUAUCAAAAACACAGGUCUCUGCUAAACCGU